rnacentral:rRNA from 1 species
UACGGAGGGGACUAGCGUUGUUCGGAAUUACUGGGCGUAAAGCGUGCGUAGGUGGUCGUUUAAGUCUGUUGUGAAAGCCCUGGGCUCAACCUGGGAACUGCAGUGGAAACUGGACGACUAGAGUGUGGUAGAGGGUAGCGGAAUUCCCGGUGUAGCAGUGAAAUGCGUAGAGAUCGGGAGGAACAUCCAUGGCGAAGGCAGCUACCUGGACCAACACUGACACUGAGGCACGAAAGCGUGGGGAUCAAACAGG